rnacentral:rRNA from 1 species
UCGUGAGGCGGAGCUAAUCCCUUUAAAGCCAUUCUCAGUUCGGAUUGUAGGCUGAAACUCGCCUACAUGAAGCUGGAGUUACUAGUAAUCGCAGAUCAGAAUGCUGCGGUGAAUGCGUUCCCGGGUCUUGUACACACCGCCCGUCACACCACGGAAGUUGGGGGCGCCCGAAGCCACUUAGCUAACCCUUUUGGGAAGCGAGUGUCGAAGGUGAAAUCAAUAACUGGGGUGAAGUCGUAACAAGGUAGC